UCCCUGGUGGUCCAGUGGCUAGGACUCUGCCCUUCCAAUGCAGGGAGCCCAGGUUCAAUCUCUGCUCAGGAAA
rnacentral:tRNA from 1 species